UCUGGUGAUUAGUGCAAAGUGGUCCCACCUGAUCCCUUUCCGAACUCAGAAGUGAAACACUUUAGCGGAGACGAUAGUCCUCGGGCAACUGAGCGCGAAAAUAUCUCAUCGCCAGAA
rnacentral:rRNA from 4 species